AAUAUUUUAUUAAUAUAUCUACUUAUGAUAUGCUAAGAAAUAUUCUCAGUAUAUACUGAGUAGGCUUCUAGAGCAGACAUAGAAACAUCCUCCGUACAUUCUCAAAAUAUCGUGAAUCUACCUGUGCUGUAUGGGUAAGAUAUUACCUUACCCAAACCAUGUCUGAGGUGUGGAGUGGAUCUUGCUUCACGUAGAAAGUUGCAAAUCCAUGUGGAAUCGUAUAUGUACUGUAAAGUACAUGCAACACAUAAUAAAACUCACAUGAUUAUAUCACUCUGUAUACGAACUAUCUUCACAGGUCUAGAAAUAUCUACAUCCCAAUUAAAAACCGUAACGUAACUUUAAUCAACUUUUCUAAUGUUUCAAUCAUUGUCGUCACAUAAGAGUCGAAUUAUAAAAUAUAGGCAUACGUGUGAGCACUGUGGUUGCUGGGCUCGAACUGAUCUGUUAGUCAUGUCUUAGGAACAAUACAAGGUAAUAUUGCGAACUAUACAGUUUUGAUUACACAGUCAUAUAUUACAUUUAAAUAUUCCGUGUCUGUUAGUAAAUUUAACGCGUUAUCGGUUUUCUUGAUAAAGAACGUUUCGACAACUUCUCUUUUUCUCCUGAGGCGCUCGCUAUGCAAAAUUCUUGGUUUCAAUCAAUUGAACUCGUGAUCAUGUAAUACGCGGUGUUCACUACCUACAGAGUGACAGCUUUCGUCUUUUUUGAUGUCAUUUCUAUGUUCUUCAAAUCUGGUCACUUGUUCAUGUUCUACUUUGCGACAAACAGGACGUUGACGUCUUCAAUGCGCAAUUUUUCUUUUUUCAAUAUAUCUCACAAAUUACAAUUCAACGUAAAAAAGCAAAAACCAUACUUCGCAUACGUUAAAUACAUCUUUGCAUCUACAUAUACAUACAAUUAAAUAAUCGGAAUAUACCCUCACGCAAAGCGAUGCAUUAUUUAAAUUGUAGAACAGAAGAGUUAAGAAUCUUAAAUGUUUCAUCAAAUGUUGCGUAAAUUCUGUUUAUGCAGAUAAAAAGAAAAAGAUACACGUAAGGUCGAUCGGAGUAAAAC